CCCUUAGAUGUCCUGGGCCGCACGCGCGCUACACUGAACGGAUCAGCGCGUUUUCCCUUCCCGAGAGGGACGGGUAACCUGCUGAACCCCGUUCGUGGUAGGGAUCGGGGCUUGCAAUUAUUCCCCGUGAACCAGGAAUGCCCAGUAAGUGCAAGUCAUAAGCUUGCGUUGAUUACGUCCCUGCCCUUUGUACACACCGCCCGUCGCUACUACCGAUUGAACGUUUUAGUGAGGUACUCGGACUGAGCCUCAGAAGAUUCACGUCUUUUGUGCUGUUCGGGAAGAUUCCCAAACUUGAGCGUUUAGAGGAAGUAAAAGUCGUAACA
rnacentral:rRNA from 1 species